rfam:Stegodyphus mimosarum contig63482, whole genome shotgun sequence.
GCCUUCGUGGUGCAGUGGUCAGCACACUCGGCGCCUAUUCGAGAGGUUCGUGGUUCGAAUCCCGGCAAGGGCA